rnacentral:rRNA from 1 species
AAUAUUGCGCAAUGGACGGAAGUCUGACGCAGCGACGCCGCGUGAGCGAUGAAGGUCUNCGGAACNUNAAGCUCUGUCCUUGGGGNCAAAGGGCUUCGGCCUUGACGGUACCCAAGAAGAAAGCCCCGGCUAACUACGUGCCAGCAGCCGCGGUAAUACGUAGGGGGCGAGCGUUGUCCGGAAUUACUGGGCGUAAAGGGUGCGUAGGCGGCCCUUUAAGUCAGAUGUGAAAGGCCACGGCUUAACCGUGGAACUGCAUUUGAAACUGGCGGGCUUGAGUGUCGGAGAGGGUAGUGGAAUUCCCAGUGUAGCGGUGAAAUGCGUAGAUAUUGGAAGGAACACCAGUGGCGAAGGCGACUACCUGGACUGAUACUGACACUGAGGUGCGAAAGCGUGGGGAGCAAAC